UUAUUUUAAUUUAAUUUGUCAAAAUACAUGCUUUAAUAAAUGAUGACUUUCAAAAUCUUUAUUCAUUUGUCAAAUUGAAAUGUGUCUGUCAUCUUAUGUAUUAGAGGUCGACCGAUAUGGCUUUUUCUCUGGCCGAUGCCGAUGUUUAGAAAUCAGGGCAGCCGAUGGCCGAUAUGUUUGGCUGAUUUUCUACAUGUACAUAAUAAUCAAAAUGUUCUCAUCAUUAGCAGAUAUUUUAAAUGUAAAAAUGUCACUAUUUAAGUCAAAGUAUUUAAAAAAAUUAUGACUGGUCUUUCUGAAGAGUUUUACAAGCUCCUCUGCACCAUGCAUUUAUCAGACACAGAUAUUACCUGACACUCUGCUGUCAUCUUUGAUCAGUUUUUUUCCAUGGCUUUUAUUGCUUUGUAGGAUAAAAUCCUUAUAUGGUAGACCUGAUAAAUUAUUUAUUCAUCAUAAAGUUAACAUAGUAAAUGUCUAUGUUUUUUAGUUGAGACUGUUAUUUAGGGCAAAUCUUUCUAAACACAUUUACAUUAUCAUUUCUGAGGCGCUAUAAGUGACUGAUUGUGCUGACAGUGAUGUCUUGUCCCGCCAUCGUUUACUAAAGUUGUUUGUGAACAAGGCACGGCUGCACACACACGGGAGCUAUCUGCUUGCAGCAAGAGGCAGCGUCACGAGUUCUACAACAACGCUUAGGUGCCCGCAGAUGCGCUUGUCUAUUAUUCGGCCUAAUUUUGCAGCAAAAUCGGCCAAAGCCGAUUUUUAAAAAUAUGCCAAAAAUCGGUCGACCUCUAUUAUGUAUUGUACAUAGGGCUGGGUAUUGGCAAGGGCCUCCCGAUACGAUACGUAUCACGAUACAAUGCGUUGCAUGUUGUGAUACAUUGCAAUACUUUUUCUCUUUUUUAUCAAAAAUGUAAAAAAAAUAGAACUGAACACCUGCAGCUCUUUGAAAGCUGCAGGUGUUUUUAAAUUUUCUGCCAUUUUCUCACUCCCUCUAACUUCUGAGACAUUGGCCGUAUAUGGCAGACAACUGGACAGUGACAACUACAGCAGCGGCAGAGGAGGUCGUUUGACGCACACAGAAGAAUUUGAUUGGUUUUAAAAUAUCAAUAGUAGCGAUCGAAAUAUCGAUACACUUUCGAUACAGCCAACUAUCACGAUAGUUAGCUGUAUCGAUAUUUUUGCACAGCCCUAAUUGUACAGUAUUGUGACAUGUCUGUUUAUGUUGUUUAAGGAAGACUCCUACAAGGAACCAGUGAGAGCAUAGACUGUGAUAGUGACAUGGCAACACUGCCUUUACUGCUCCAUCUCCUUCCACCAUCACCUCAACGGAAUCAGUGCAUCAGAUUUGCAGUGAGCAGGCUUGUGGUGUAUCAUAAGUCUUGUACCAGCCUUGAAGAACAUCUUCAGCAACGAGUAGGAUGACAACCGUACCUUACUGCGGUUAGCAGGAUCUGCGGCCAGAUUUGAGAACUUUGACGUGGCUUUUGAUAAGAAUCUCACCCCGUCAGUCGGAAGGCUCCCUUUUAUUAGCAUUUGACUUUGUUUUUAAUGUAAUGUAUGAUGAUGGACUCCUUUACUUUAACUAAUUUAAUCAAACAACAGUUUACAUGUUGGGAAAACUAGAGAUUGAGAGCAAACUUUUUUUAACUAGCUGUAACUAGUAUCUCAUUUACGGUUUCAGCAUGCAUUUUAUCCUUGCCCAAAUUUCUAAUUAAUAUGUGCUGAAGAAAAUUGUGAUUACUUUUGUGAUGUAUUGUUUUACAGAAUGUUUAGUGAAAGAUUUGCUGUGAUUUGCCCUAGAUGUGUGUCAGACAUGGAUUUUAAAACACUUUUCCAGUUUUGUUUAAACUCCUUGGCAAAAUUGAAAGGACUGUAUACAUAACCACUCUCUGAAAAUUUUGAAAAAGUUCACAAGUGAAACUUUAUUUUUUUAUAAAUAUUUAAUAAUGUCAAAUAAAUUUGUUAAAUAAAUUUGUGGUCAAUAA